AGCGGCGGACGGGUGAGUAAUGCCUAGGAAUCUGCCUGGUAGUGGGGGAUAACGUUCGGAAACGGACGCUAAUACCGCAUACGUCCUACGGGAGAAAGCAGGGGACCUUCGGGCCUUGCGCUAUCAGAUGAGCCUAGGUCGGAUUAGCUAGUUGGUGGGGUAAUGGCUCACCAAGGCGACGAUCCGUAACUGGUCUGAGAGGAUGAUCAGUCACACUGGAACUGAGACACGGUCCAGACUCCUACGGGAGGCAGCAGUGGGGAAUAUUGGACAAUGGGCGAAAGCCUGAUCCAGCCAUGCCGCGUGUGUGAAGAAGGUCUUCGGAUUGUAAAGCACUUUAAGUUGGGAGGAAGGGUUGUAGAUUAAUACUCUGCAAUUUUGACGUUACCGACAGAAUAAGCACCGGCUAACUCUGUGCCAGCAGCCGCGGUAAUACAGAGGGUGCAAGCGUUAAUCGGAAUUACUGGGCGUAAAGCGCGCGUAGGUGGUUUGUUAAGUUGGAUGUGAAAUCCCCGGGCUCAACCUGGGAACUGCAUUCAAAACUGACUGACUAGAGUAUGGUAGAGGGUGGUGGAAUUUCCUGUGUAGCGGUGAAAUGCGUAGAUAUAGGAAGGAACACCAGUGGCGAAGGCGACCACCUGGACUAAUACUGACACUGAGGUGCGAAAGCGUGGGGAGCAAACAGGAUUAGAUACCCUGGUA
rnacentral:rRNA from 1 species